AGGUAUUAAGCCGGACUAACGGAUGACAUUGAUGUCGUUAAAUAUGAGCACACACUCUAAUACC
rnacentral:tRNA from 1 species